UACGUAGGGGGCAAGCGUUGUCCGGAUUCAUUGGGCGUAAAGAGCGUGUAGGCGGCCAGGUAGGUCGGUUGUGAAAACUGGAGGCUCAACCUUCAGAGGUCGACCGAAACCAUCUGGCUAGAGUCCGGGAGAGGAGAGUGGAAUUCCUGGUGUAGCGGUGAAAUGCGUAGAUAUCAGGAGGAACACCUGCGGUGUAGACAGCUUUCUGGACCAUCACUGACGCUGAGACACGAAAGCGUGGGUAGCAAACAGG
rnacentral:rRNA from 1 species